UUUAAGGAAGUUUUUGUGUGUCAUGAGGUUGUUUGAUUUAUUAAUCCUCUCGUUGCUUGUAUUCCUUAAUUCUGUUUUGGAACUUUGUUACCGUUGAUUGUAUUUUGUUUUGUUCUCUUAUAUUAGAAUUGAGUACCCUUGUGCUCCCACUAAUUCAUCUUUUGCUUAUAAUAAAAAGUGAAAAAUAUCUUUUUUUGGUGUAAUUUUAUUCCAUUGUCGGGAUAAAAUGUGAAAUAAAAAUGAGUAAACAAUAUUUUACUUU
rnacentral:lncRNA from 1 species